UCUUUGCUCUUGACACCUUCCAUCCUUUUGGAAAAAAUCGCCCUUUUUUCAAGUUGUCUUGUCACUUGCCAUGAAAUGCUUAGGCUGAACCAUGUUACAUUUCCAUCCAUAGCCAUUAGCUAGUAAUUACUCGCUUCUUGAUAUGCCUCACAUCUUGGAUUGAAUUGUGUGGAAUAGGACUAAUUCCAGUCUCUCUAGGAUAUUGCCUUCUAUAUCACUGAGGAGACCUAUCUUCAUGCCAGCACAACCGAGAUCUGGAAUUUUAUCCUAGCUCCCUUACACAUUGGAAUCCCCAGCUAGGAGUUGCGCUUACGGCAGAGAGGAUUAAUGACUGAGGAGUCCUAUACAGUGAGCCAAAAUGCUGGCAUAAGGGGUGGAUUUUAAAAAAUAUUUGUGAGCAACAAAUUGAAGUGUGUAUUUUUUUUUAAUUAUGCUGUAUACAUUCAUUUUCCCUUCUUAUAGCAUAUUUUGAUUAACUAAAAGUACAGCACUAGCCUAAGGUAAAUUGGGAAAUCAGUCCUUUGGAUGCAAUUCCUUGAUGUGUUUUUCUUUCCAUUCCUGAUGAACAGCAUUUUGAUGUCACUGAAACACCUAGUGCCCAAUGAUUGAAAUCCCAUUCAUGCAGCAUAACUUUUAAAUAUCAGACUUUUGAAAGAUCUCAUCUGCUUCCUCAGUCACCAGUGACCAAGUGGUAACACCUGUAUACGUGAAGGUUGGUGAGUUGUGUGCUAAGGGAAGAGAAUCUGGUUUAUCUUCAGAAAUAUAAUCAAAGGAGUGACUUAGAGUUAAUAUUUUAGGCAUGGUGUCUUACAUAAUGACCCCUUAUAGUUCAAGAAGCCUAAAAGCUCAGCACAGACAAAUGAUAAUAGUUUUUGUUUAAAGAAAGCUUUUAGCCUGUAAUGGUACAAUCAUGAUGCAACCUAUUGCUGUGAAUGUGUGGAUACCCUGUGGCUAGGGAGCUGCUGCUCUUCCAUCACCUUCCUCACUCCCUGUUUGUGAGUCCAUCCGUUGGGUAAGAAAUCUCCCAACAUGUCAUCCAACAAUGUUGUGCAAACUGGAGGGAAGGAGGGAGACAGAAAGGGAGGAGGGGAGAUGCAUAAGGAUAUGCGGACCAAGAGGUAAGUAUUUGUCUUGCUAUCAAGAACAUAGCUGGAGAUAGGCUGGGAGAAGGCCACUGGGGUAGGACAGGGCCUGAAGUGCCAUGAGGAGGGUGAUGCAUCACCCUCCACCAGGCAUGAUGCAUCUGUCAGGGAAGGGCCUUAUGCUUUCAUGACUUCUGCAUCUCCAGUUUGCACACUGGGUGAUGGUGUGGGACAGUUGUCAAGUGGGAUAUGGUGUGGAGUUUAUGGAAGGAACAGGUUGUUAGACUAAGAACUGCAGGUCUUAAAGUAAACCUCCUUUUCAAAGAAGAGGGAAAAGGAAUGGCUCCCAUUAGGUGUGGUUCAGGUUGUUGAUGAUCCUGCAGCACUGCUGCUAAGCGGGAACCACUCCAGCCACAUGGUUUUGAUGGAUUCGGAGUCAUCCUGGUUUCUGUUUCUGUUCUCUUUCCCUGAGUUACUACAUGAGACCUUUCUUCCCAGUCACAUUGGAAGCCAAUUCCCGCUACCUCAAGCACAAUUGGAAUCAUGCAUGUUAAAACAGUUACUGUGAUAAGAUGUUACCAACUUGUCUUUCUCUUGCUUGUAAACUAGACAAAAAAGAUUUAGGGGGCUUUGUGGUGAUACAAGGUCAGUUAUCUUCAGUGUCAUCGGUGAAUCUUCUUGUACUUGGACCAGGUAAAAUCAGAGUUCUUAUGACUUCCGAUCGUCAUGUUCCUCUUCAUAUUCCUUUUGAUUUUUCUCUUAGAAGUGUAUUUAAGAUGAAAAAGCCUUUUAAACUACAGCAAGAUUUGUGUGUAGCAUUUCCUUGCUUUCAAAUCACUAUUUGUCCCCUAACCCCCUUCAAGAGCAUGUAAACUGAUUUGUUGGUAUACAUGGUUCUAGUCGCCACAGAAGUAACCUAGACUUUCAGAUUCUUUUCUCAAGGGAAGCACAAAGCUAUCAGGUUCCUGAUCGAGCAUUAGUACUUCUGGAAUCCAUAAAUGUGUGUUUGUAAAAUCCUGAAGGAUAAUUUAUUUUUCUAACAGAUAUUACAGGUUUCCAAUUAUAGUGAUGCAAGCAUUAUAGCAAUGAGAAGCAAAAUUGAAAGUGGUAAUACACAAAUGUUUAAUCCUAUAGAUUGGAUGUCCAAACUGAGGAAAAUUAAAAAACAGAAGUCUGUAACACAAAUAAAAUAGGUUUCUAAAAUUUGUUAAUAGUCAGUAGCUUUGCUACCCUACUGGAAGAAUAUUUCUUGAAUUGAACAGAAUGUUGAAGAUGGCUACUUAAACGUGCUUAUUUGGGGAUUUUUUCAACUACAAAAUCAUAAUAUUGAGGAGUGAAGAUUUCAUUUUCAUUAUUGCUAGUCACAUGGUUUGAGAUUUCAACCUUUAUAUGAAUAACAUUUCAUUCCAGAGGCAAGAAAAAUAUGGAGACUAGUUGUUAGGCCAGUAAUAGUGCUCAGUACUCCUUGUGAAUCAGAUUUCUGUUGUAAUAGUACUAGAAAGUUUCUUUUUAAGAUAAAAGAUAACACUAAAAAAAGGAGCUACUGGCUUCUUUUCCAAGUAUUCUUAUGGCUGAACCAGAAAACUUGCCUUUUUAACCUGUACUCAGCCAUGUUGAUAGGGUACAGUUACCUUAACGUAGUUUAAUGUCAUCAGCUGUGAUAUCUCUUGCUGAGCUCACUGUGCUUACUAAGUGAAAGAUGUUGACUUGAAUCACCUUCACUGAAAGUUACCUUUCAGUUGGGCUGGGAAAUGAUGGGCAGUGCUCAUCAUCAGUAAGAACAACUCAAAAAACAGGACAGAACUCAUGAAGCCCGUCAUACUGCUGAAUCUAGUAGCUGUAAGCUAUCAGACUUUAGCAGGCAUAGUGUGGAUAGCUAUUGAAAGAGCUCUAAAAGCUGGGUAAAUCUGUAAUUUACUCUUUGAGCUUAAUGAGAGGCUGAGUUCGGGUUGCAGAUUGCUUGUAAAGAUCUUGUUUUAUUGCGAGCAGACCGACAGGCUAGGAUAAUAAUCUUGGUGAUAGUAUUUUAAAGUGGAGAGCAAGGUCUGAUGUGGCAGUGAAUUGGGAACUAGACAUAAGUCCUUUUCCUGUCACUUACCUGCUCUGUUGACUCAGACAAAUCCACUCUGUUUCAUUUUAUUUAUUGAGAAAAUAAGAUUGAUAAUUCCUGAAAAAUUCCAUGCUUAAUUGCGAUACAUUUUUGUAAAGCGCUUGGUAGAUGAAAAGCAGUGUUCAAGAAAAACUACGCAGCCUUGCUUUUCUUACUCCACCUUAAUGUGCUGUCGUACACCUAAUGAGAGAACCCCUGACUCAGCAGAAGGUGUGCCUUCACUUCUUGAGCUUCAUGGCUUCUGUACAUGCAGAAUCAUACCAGCAUAACUGUACAAUAAUAGCUAUAUUGUUAAUUACUUCCUGGUAGGGAGGAAGGGAAGGUACUCCAGAUACACCAACAGUUUACUGGUAAAACCUAUUUUAUGGCAGUGUAUCCAUAUAUGCAACUGUGCUCAGUUUGAGGUCCUGUUGGUAACUUCCAGAGUAGAUGCUCAGCAAGCAUAAUUUCUUCUGUAAGUAGCUUAAGUUAUGUAUUACUUUGUUCCAUGAAUGUGAAGCUCAUGUGAAUACCGUAUUACCUGUGGCAAUGCAGACAGUCCUUCAUUAAUAAUACAAGAACACUCUGGGUUUCCUGGUCCUGAGAAGAGAAGGAGCAGUGCAAUUAUGCUGCCAAAUUACUGCAGGAAUAAAGAUGCUCAUUUAGGUGUUGCAAAAGACUUGCAGAAACUCACCAUAGCAGAGAGUAUCAAAAAUGCUGGACAAAGGAGAAAACUAGAAGCUGGUAAGCCAGCUGAAGAGCAUGGCGGGUGUGAAAAUGGAGCUGCUCUCUGUCCUGUUGUGGUUGUGCAGAGCUGUGUGCCAGGACGGGCACGUGACAGCAGGGAAUACUGGGCGCAUCACAGCACCAUUCUGGAAGGAGUUGUGAAAGUGCUGGCUGACAGUGAGCUUGUGGAGACAGGACCACAUCAUUCAGAAGCUACAGUGGCUCCUUGAAACUCAACUUACGCAACCUCAGAUGAAUCCAGAAACGGUAUCACCUGGGGAAAAAGAAUGGAGCUUGGAUGCUUCAGAUGGAGAAACUGGAGAAGCACCUUCUUCACACCUAUAGAAAACUUUGUGUGAGAGGAAGAAAGUCUUACCAUGAAAUAAUGCAGUGAGGAGGAAUGCCUGCUUGAAGAAAGGCAGAAGAACUAGAGAGGGACAGAGAAGCAUCUCUAGAGGGGGCAAAUGUAGACUCAACAAAGCUCUAUGAGAAAGCAUCCUGAGAUUUGUACUCCAACAGGUCAGCUGUGAAGCCCACUGUCUUCAUGGGGCUUUACCUAUAUGUCUAUCUGCUUGCCAAGUGACCAGGGCUACAUGCCACAAUUUCCCUUCUGCACAGCCCCAGUGGAAAAUCAGAAUAGUGAUAAGUAUUUGUAUUCUGACCUCAGAACUGGGUAGUAACAACAAGAGAUUCUCACCGGUUUUGUGGCCUGAUUAUCUUGAGGAAUCAGACAUGGGAAAUCAUGGCAUGUCUCUUCUUGUCUGCUAGUUUGCACAUCUUUAGAGAGUUCUCUCCCCUCUCUUACUUCUGGACUACUCUUGGCCAGUUUCAAGAAAAAACUUAAUAGAUCAUUAGGAAUCUCAAAGCCUACAAAGUUUUUAUAAUAUUGGGGAAGAGAGGUGAGCCAGCAGGUAGCAGAAUCCAGACAGGACAGAGGCCUUUUAGAGAUCCAAAUGGGGAAGAUGGCUUUAACUGAAGUUCAUACCUGGUUUUUAUGCAGAAGUUAGUCAGUCACAAGAAAUGAAGCUAUAAGAAACUAUGAUCUGUUCUUUGUGGUGCUCACAGACCAACUUCUUAAGUGACUGUAGAUGUUUUGAGAAGUGUUUUUUAUUACUGCUUAAUAAAGUUGUUAUAUGUGA